UACGUAGGGUCCGAGCGUUGUCCGGAAUUAUUGGGCGUAAAGGGCUCGUAGGCGGUUUGUCGCGUCGGGAGUGAAAGCCUACAGCUUAACUGUGGGCUUGCUUUCGAUACGGGCAGACUUGAGGCAUGCAGGGGAGAACGGAAUUCCUGGUGUAGCGGUGAAAUGCGCAGAUAUCAGGAGGAACACCGGUGGCGAAGGCGGUUCUCUGGGCAUGUUCUGACGCUGGGGAGCGAAAGUGUGGGGAGCGAACAGG
rnacentral:rRNA from 1 species